UGCAGCUUAGUUUAUUUAGAAUCGUUAACUUGCACUUAACAUGAGAGAGAAUUCUCAGUUGCGG
rnacentral:tRNA from 1 species